GAUGCACAAUUACAUCUGAAUUUGAGAUAAACAACAUAAAUUUUUUAGUGUAAGUAUGUCGCAUGCAAUAUUUGGGACAUGCUUAUACUAAAAAAUUAUCCAUUGUUUAUCUGAAAAUCAAAUUGAACUGGGUGUCCUGUAUUUU
rnacentral:miRNA from 10 species